rnacentral:rRNA from 1 species
AUACAGAGGGUGCGAGCGUUAAUCGGAAUUACUGGGCGUAAAGCGCGCGUAGGCGGCUUAUUAAGUCAGAUGUGAAAUCCCCGGGCUCAACCUGGGAACUGCAUCUGAUACUGGUAAGCUAGAGUUUUGGAGAGGGAAGUGGAAUUUCAGGUGUAGCGGUGAAAUGCAUAGAGAUCUGAAGGAAUACCAGUGGCGAAGGCGACUUCCUGGCCAAAAACUGACGCUGAGGUGCGAAAGCGUGGGUAGCAAACGGGAUUAGAAACCCUAGUAGUCC